rnacentral:rRNA from 1 species
AUACGGAGGGGGCGAGCGUUGUCCGGAUUUAUUGGGCGUAAAGGGUGCGUAGGCGGCCUUGUAAGUCAGAUGUGAAAGAUCAUGGCUUAACUGUGGUAAGCAUUUGAAACUGCAGGGCUUGAGUACAGGAGAGGAGAGUGGAAUUCCUAGUGUAGCGGUGAAAUGCGUAGAUAUUAGGAGGAAUACCAGUGGCGAAGGCGAGUCGCGGGACUGAUACUGACGCUGAGGCGCGAAAGCGUGGGGAGCAAACAGGAUUAGAUACCCUGGUAGUCCACGCUAUAAACGAUGAGUGCUAGGUGUCGGGGGUCAAACCUCGGUGCCGCAGUUAACACAUUAAGCACUCCGCCUGGGGAGUACGGCCGCAAGGCUGAAACUCAAAUGAAUUGACGGGG